GAUGGAUAACAAUGAUAUUGGUUUGAUUAUUUGCUUAUUUAAUGUGUAAUAAUAUCAGCCAAAAUAAUACAAAUGGUCAUUUGAAGAACAAAUAAUACAACUAGAUUAACAGUAAAUACAUAAAUAUUUCCUACUUUAAAAGGUUUGUUAGUGCUUUCUGUAUGUUUUAUUUUGAAAUGUUGAUAUAUUUUAUGAAUUCAUUGUUCAGUGGUCAUUUAUGCACCAGACAUAGACCUGCAGCCCAGAGGUGGGUCUAGACGGGGACCAACGGGGUACCAAAGAAGUAAUACUAAAUAAAAAUCCACUCAGUGGUGGAUUUUUUUAACCUUCACAAUUUUAGUUUAAAAAUUAAUUAAAAUUAUAGUGCUGCACUUUUAGCUGCUGUAUAGGAUCACACCUUCCAUCUGCCAGGGAUCUGCAGCCUGGAUCUCUGGAGACACAAGUGGCUCUUUGGCUCACUUAUUAUAUCAAAUGAUGAAAUAUUGCUCAGUUUUUUUGUUUGUUUUUUUUCCAUUCUUUUUUAAGUGUUGCCAUGGAAAAACCAGCCUCCAAAUCCAACUCCUUAUUUGUAUAAAUAUUUUGGUAGUACUCUGUAAAAUACCAGAAUGUUCACAUAACUUUUAUACUUUUGGCUGUCUGAGGGUACAUUUUGAAUAUUAAAUCAGGUGUUAUGAUCAGUUACUCUGUACCUGAGUAGUUUACUAAAUACUUUUUACACUUGCCUAAUUAAACGUGUUUAAGGUAUGCUACCCUGAUUGGAGUACAAUUUUUGGUACUCUAACCAACCUCUAUGCAUGAAUGAUUGCUCUAUGGAUCACUUUUUAAAGACAAAAAACACUGCCAUAAAAUAAUGUCUAUCUCUGCAGCGGACGUCCCACCCCAUGAGAGUAGGGCGAUGUGCCAUGGUGAGGAUCCCUUAUUUUGAUUUCUGAAAGGUGGCGACCCUAGAUGCCACAUACAUAGUGAGUCCACAAAGUCUUAAAAUUGUUUCUGUUAAGUGCAGUGGUGCAGUGAAUGGGAAUGUUCUGUUGAUCCUCACUAUUCUUAGCAAGGAAAAAUGUGUUUGUCCGGAGUAAUACUGGAAUACUGUGACAUUGAAUUAAAACAGUAAUUCCUUGGUGAAAUAUUUUUCACAUUUCCUCUAAAGUGUAACUAUUGUUUUAUUGUCCUAAUUUUUAUAAGCAUGUUGUCUGUAGAUUGUUAAUAUUUUGACAAUUUGUACAAUUCUGUGAUAGUAUAUUGUCAAUGUAGUCUUGAAAAAUGUGAGUAUACUGAAUAGACAAAGUAAUUUUUUUCAAUCGGAAAGUGUGUCGUAAUUGAUCCUUCUGUAUACUGUAUAUGUUUGCAGUAUUGUAGUGUGUAUGAAGCAUGUAAUGUACAAAGCGGCAAGGAAGAAGAAUAAAAGACAUCGAUAAGUAA